UUGAAAAUUAAAUCAAGCCUACACAUAAAGGCAUUUUUUAUAUAUACACACACACACAUACUUUUUAUGUUAUUUUUGGAGAGAAUCUUGCUCUGCUGCCCAGGCUGGAAUGCAGUAGCAUGAUCAUGGCUCACUGCAGCCUUGACCACCCCCAGGGUUCAAGUGAUCGUGCCACCUCAGCCUGCUGGGUAGCUGGGACUACAGACAGGCACCCUGCCUGGCUAAUUUUUGCAUUUUUUGUGGACACAGGGUUUUGCCAUGUUGCCCAGGCUGGUCUCAAUCUCCUCGGCUCAAGUCAACAGCCUGCCUCUGCCUCCCAAUGUGUUGGGAUUACAGGAAUAAACUACUAUGCCCAACUCAAGAUUAUUUUUUAAAUGGUUUAUUUUCUUAGUAAAUUGGGGUGCACAAGUCAUUAAAAGCAAGGAUUAAAUUUAAAGGGAAAAAUUUGUUUUACUUUUCUACAGAAAAUUAAAACCAAAGCACAUUAAAAGUGACAACACGGCCGGGCACAGUGACUCACACCUGUAAUCCCAGCACUUUGAGAGGAUGAGGUGGGCGGAUCACAAGGUCAGGAGAUCGAGACCAUCCUGGCUAACACAGUGAAACCCCAUCUCUACUAAAAAUACCGAAAGUUAGCCAGGUGUGGUGGCACGCACCUGUUGUCCCAGCUACUCAGGAGGCUGAGGCAGGAGAAUGGCAUGAACCCAGGAGGCGGAGUUUGCAGUGAGCCAAGAUCAGGCCACUGCACUCCAGCCUGGGCGACAGAGCGAGAUUCUGUCUCAAAAAACAAAAAAGCAACAACCCAAGAUGGAAAUGACAAAAGUUACUUAAAAUGUGCAACAUAAAAGGUAGUCAUUUAGGCUGGGUGCAGUGGUUCAUGCCUGUAAUCCCACUUUGGGAGGCCAAGACAGGUGGGUCACUUGAGGACAGGAGUUCGAGACCAGUCAGGCCAAUACCGUGAAACAGUCUCUACUAAAAAUCCAAAAAUUAGCCGGAUGUGGUAUCAUGCACCUGUAAUCCCAGAUGUUCGGGAGGCUGAGGCAUGAGAAUCGCUUGAAUGCAGGAGCAGAGGUUGCAGUAAGCUGUGAUCAUGCCAUUGCCCUCCAGCCUAGGCAACAGAGCUAGAUCCUUGUCUUAAAAAAAAAAAAAAGGAAAGGAGUCAUCUAUAAUUUUACUACUUAUACAGAUUACAUUGAGAUAAAUCGCAAAAUAUUAGGCAAAACUUUAAAACAAUUUUU
rnacentral:lncRNA from 1 species